rnacentral:lncRNA from 1 species
CUCUUGUUCUUAAUUUUGUAAUACUUGCUUUCUUAGAAGCACUCUAGUUUACAUAAAUCCUUCUUCUAUUGUUUGUUGAUUUCCUCAAGUGACUCUGUGUAGUCUGUAUACUUGAGAGGGCUAAGAGAUUUUGUAUCUUAGACGUUGUUUGUAAUCUUUCAAGAUUAGUGGAUUAAGUCCUUGUUGAAGGCGAAAUCACCUUGGCCGGGUGGACUGGAGUAGCUUUGUGUUAUAAGCGAACCAGUAUAAAAUCAUUGUGUGAUUUUCAUUUUGAAAAGCGCUUAUUUUUCCAAACAAUUCAAACCCCCCCUUUCUUGUUUUUCUCACCUUCAACUGGUAUCAGAGCUCCGGCUCUGUUAUUGAUUUUCUAAUCAAACACUUAACCGUGUAGAGAGAUCCAGUACGAGAAAAACAAUGGCCCACUCAAAUGAAAGAGAUUCUUACAAUGCCAAGCCUCCUGUUUUUGAUGGAGAGAAAU